rnacentral:lncRNA from 1 species
UAAUGAUAUAUCUUAAAAAUGUAAGAUGCAUUAAUGUUAAAAAGUCUGUGUGAAACAUCAUCUUCGUGUGAAACAUCAUCUACGUGUAAAACAUCAUCUAUGUGUGAAACAUCAUCUACGUGUGAAACAUCAUCUACGUGUGAAACAUCAUCUACGUGUGAAACAUCAUCUACGUGUGAAACAUCAUCUAUUGUCAAAUAGCCCUCUGUUUCAUAAAUCCUCAAAACUGAAAUAUUCCGAGCUCUUCUUCAUUCCUAUUGUUAUC